AAGAACGCGCACAACUCCCGCCCACAUAACAGAGCGCCGGCCGACCACGCAAUGCAAGCAUGACUGCAGCCUCAUACAUUGUAGACCCGGUAGUAGUAUCUUGGUCACUUGUAAAUAAUUUCAGGAACUAGCCAGUGAUCACUUUUUAUUUUUGUGUCAGAAUUCUUUAAAGAUAACAUUUUUAUGCUAAUAUUUAAGUGUAAAUCAAUUUCUUUCAAUGUGUAGAGUUUAGAUUGUUAUAAAUUAGUUUUUAAACAACUGUGGCAUGGGUAUGAGAUGGAAAACAUCAGCUUGUGAGAAGUACAUUAUCAAGAUCUCAGUCUUUUUCAUACUACCCCAUGAGACUACUUUGUUUACUUUUGUAUGAGAACCAAAUAAGUUGAGGUUGAAUGGUUAGGGUUGUUGCUUUAUUUUUGGGGUGUGUGUGGUAGGUACUGGUUCAGUUUUUAACGUGGAUGCCAGCUGUCUGGACUGAAAUUUAUUAUUUUCAUCAUUUUGUUCAGAAAAAAUUGAUCACAGUCACUUUCUUUCCAUUUCUUCAUUAAUAUCUGUCUUCCGAUUCAGCACUAUCUAACCUUUGAAGUUGAGAAAGUAAUGUUAAAUAAAGUAGGAAACAUGUUUUUCACUUAUUCAAAAUUUUGAUUGCAUCUGCCAGUAAGUUCCCAUUAUUAUCUUUGCCAAAUUAGUCUGAUGUUGAUACCCUUUCUUAGAAUCAUUCAUGCCUCUGUACAGAUCUCUGAUAUUUUUGUCCUUACUGUUUGUAUCAAGCUCAAUAAUUUUGCCUUUCAGAUAUUUCCUUUUCUUAUUCCUAAAGGUUCUGCUAGCUUCAUGUCUCACGUUACAUAGAUUAUCCUUAUUUGUCUUGUUUGGGUGCUGCAGCCAUUGAAAUUUCAUUUGGUUACUUCUAGAUGUUCCAUAUCUAUACAUAUAUUUUAUUUAUAUUUUACUUGUGAUGUUGGGGUAAAAAAAACAGGAUAUAUUACCUGUAAUCUGUAUGGUUGUAAGUCUUAUUUUUAUUUGAUAAUUUGUCAGUCUGUAAAUCUGACACCUGAGUGAAUUGUAUUAAUGUUUUGCCUAACAGGUUUCAAGCUCUUUUUCUGUGUCUGUUAUCUGCGUUCAUUCCCAGACCAUUUCUUUCUGAUAAUUCAUCAGCAUAGCUGAUUGCACAAGUCAAAAGUAUAUUUUUUAUAAUAAUUUUAGGAAUAUGUAUGUUUCAUGAUGGUGGUUGUUGAUCUAUAUUAUAACCACUGCCACUUGUUUAUGGAAAUUUACAAGUAUUCACUAACAACAAACAGCCUGAAAGCCACUACAACUAGGCCUUGCAUGCAUUACACUUGUUUUUGUACAAUUUAGAUAUAAUAAGUAAAGACUCUGUGCUUAAUUAAGAAUUGCAGUGAAGAUAUUGGGGAGUAGAGGUAUAGCUGCAUAUGUUCUUUUGUAGUAUUUAAUAAGUCCCUUUAAAUUAUUUGUUAUUUGGCAUGGCUGUUUGUAUGUUGCAUGCACAUCAGCUAAGCUCACGUUAUGAGUACCAAGAAGAAGAUCGGGACCUUGAAGCACAGAUGCUUGCAAAGGGGCUUCGGCUGACACCUUUGAGGAAAGAAUCGCAUGUGUAAUUCUAUGCUGUGUAAGGGUUUACUUGCCAAGUUGUGAAAUGUAUGUAUUUUUCAUGUCCUAAACAUAAUGCUUAUAUUUUCCUUAAAAAUGAAACCAUAGGAAGUUUCAAGGAUUAUAUAUCCCUUUUUGUGAUAAUGUGCAGCAUGGAUGAAAUGUACCAUGGCAUUGAUGGUUGUUAAAGAUUCUGAAGCCAUAACAUAAUUACAAACAAAGAUAUAAUUAAUUAGUUUUAAAUAGAGGCAGAAAAUAUUGUACUUGAGGAAUACAUACUUCAUUUGUUAUAAGGCUGCAUAUGUGUAUAUGUGUGUGUGUAAGGAUACUGGAUAACACACAAUUCUAAAAAGUUGUGAAACAUAAUGUUGUGUUGUCCUUCAUAUUAUUUUGCUUAUAUUUGUGACAACUGAACAGAAAUGAUGGCUGAGCACACUAAUUCUGCAAUUGUACAAUCACAGAAUUCAGCCAUUUGUUAUAACAAUAGAUUUAAUUUUCAUUACCUAAUGCUACCUACUGUCAUUAUAAUCCAAAUAUAUCUCUCUAUAACAAACUAUUAUGUGAAGCUAUACUUGCAUUACUGCAUUUAUCCUUUUAUCUGUCUUUUUUUUUACCAAGAUUUAAAAUUAAUUCCCAUUGCCUUGUUUUGAUAUGCGCAAAGGGUUAGCUGUCAAAAUGUAUAUUUCAUUAUAUUCAUAAUUCCAGAAAAUGUGAGUUGUAGAACAUGCAUUCAUAUAACAAAAUUAGUAGUUUUACUAUGUGAAAAAUACAGGGUAGUGAGCGUGUGUGUGUUUGAAUGUCUGUUCGCCUGUAACAGUAUUGCAAUAUUUGAUAAUAUUCCAAUUGAAGGUUUUUCACAAUGAUUUUAUGAUUCACAGGUCAUAUGACUGUGCCCAUUAUUUGUGCUUACAGAAAUUCCUACUAACAUUUGUAGAAAUUUUCAUCAGUUUUGAGUCCUGCAGAUAAAUAGUGUCUCAUUCUUGAAUUGGUGUCAGUCAGUCUUGAUAUCUGGCAUAAGAGUAAUUACACUUUAGAGUGAUGAACUGUGAGAAAGACUUGAAUGGUUUGAUGUGGUAAUAUAGAUAAACAGUAGCUGAAUAUUGUUUCAUUGAAUAUGAUCAGCAAAAAAAAUUACAGGUGGAGGAGCAAAAUAUUGCUGUUGGGUUUUCUUGCUUGUAAACCAUCAUUGUCUUUGAAGAGGUUAAUUCAGGUAUUCAGUUUUUUCUCUCUGUUCAAGAAUUUAUGCUGUUCUACAUAAUGUGCAUGGGACUAUUCUUAUCUCUGAAUUGCAAUGUGGUUACUACAUUUUUAUAUAUGUAUAUAUUGACAAUGGAAUGAAUUUAAAUAACUCUUGUAUGGUUCACUGUUGCAUAAUUAAUACAUUUAAUUAUUUUAUUUUAUUUGGAGAAAAAUGUCUCAAUGAACUUAGAAUUUUUAUGACAUUUAAAGUGAAAUUCAACACUCUCAUCACUCAGUGAUCUUUAUUAUAUUUUAUUUGUAACAGUAAAGUCCCAGUGAACCUGCCCAAACUAAUUAUUUUAUUAUACAAUUUACAAAACAGAGAUGUUAACAAACAUUAAUUUGCUGUGUGCCUCUUUUUUUUAGAAAUUAAGCAUUUCUGUAGGAACUUAUACAAUUUCUUUUUCAGUUUUCACUUUUAGUACUUAAUGACAUAAUAUGCUAACAUUUGUAUUUACUACAUAGUGUAAAUUUAUUUAUAGCAAUACCAAGUGUAAAAAUAAUUUUUCUGCUCAGAAGUGGCACUCAUGAAGUAUGUGCUCUAAGAAAGUUGUAUAAUGAAAUAUUGAAAUCAGUAAUAAAAUCUGAUUGUUUUGUUUAUGUUGUGGAUCAUACAUGUAUGAUUUUAAAAGUUGUAUUGAAGAGCAGCUUUGUAUAUUCAUAAUUAAAACAUGCUAGUCCGUUUCAUUUUUUAAUGUGUUAAUUGCAACUCAAUAUUUUUAAUCAGAAACUCUUUAAUUUUUAAUCUGUAAGGUCAUUACAAAGUGCUAUCACAUAAAAGACUUGUAACAAGUGCAAUUACAUCUAUUUUACUUUUCAGUUGUGGUGUACUAAAUGAUACUCAUAUUAUUCAUCUUUUUUAUGACUAGCUGUAGGAACAAGGUCUGAAGAACAAAUAUGUGCCCAUCUGUUGUGAUCUCAGCAUAGCUAUGUUCUGCCUGUGCUGUCUUUUCCCCACUUAUUAUAUUGACACCAAAUAUUAAGUAUGCUUAAGCCAUUAAGUGUGGAGAUUAAAGAAUCACUUACAAAAUAGUUUUUUGUUUAUAUAUUUUUAAUUUCAUGAAAAAGAUAUUUAACAUUUAAACAUGCCACUUUUUGUAUUAUGUCAGGUGUUGUUUUUAUGUACAAGAAGAGUUAGAUCUGCUGAUUUUGUUAUGUCUGGUUAUCAUACUGAUGAUGAUUGUAGUAACUUCGUGGUUAACUCUUCAGUGCCAGCCUUCAUACCUGAUAGACCUCAGUUUUAUCACAUGAUACCAGCCUGUAUACAUGGUGUAGACCAGGUAUGUGGGGUUUAAAUCUCCUGUGUCACAGGGUAGGACACCAUUAAAAUAUCUGCUAUUACUGAAGGGUUAAGGAAGCCAUAGUAAAUCGCAUGUAAAUUUCUCAUUAUCCUGUAUAUAGAAUAUUUGCUUUAUAGACCAGUAUACAUGCCAACACUAUCUAUAGACGUUAUGAACAGCCCAUGCAACAUUCUAACCCAGGAUGUGAUACUUGAAAUUGACCAAAGAUGAUGUCCCAACCAGUUUAUACUUAAAAAUUCUGUAUCUGUUGUAGCACAUCUGUAACGUUUUAUCAGCACUGUAGUUCUAGGAUGCAACAUCUUAACAUAUUUGUAAAUGUAAGUUUUCUGUACCAUAAAAUUAAAUUUUAAAUUCCCUUUCCAUUAA